rnacentral:rRNA from 1 species
GAGGGCUCAAGCGUUGUUCGGAAUCACUGGGCGUAAAGGGUGCGUAGGCGGCGGGGCAAGUCAGAUGUGAAAUCCGGAGGCUCAACCUCCGAAUUGCAUCCGAUACUCCCUCGCUAGAGAUUUGUAGAGGAGCUUGGAAUUCUCGGUGUAGCAGUGAAAUGCGUAGAUAUCGAGAAGAACGCUCGCAGCGAAGGCGAAGCUCUGGGCAAAUUCUGACGCUGAUGCACGAAGGCUAGGGGAGCAAACGGG